GAUGAACGCUGGCGGCGUGCCUAAUACAUGCAAGUCGAGCGAACAGACGAGGAGCUUGCUCCUCUGACGUUAGCGGCGGACGGGUGAGUAACACGUGGAUAACCUACCUAUAAGACUGGGAUAACUUCGGGAAACCGGAGCUAAUACCGGAUAAUAUAUUGAACCGCAUGGUUCAAUAGUGAAAGACGGUUUUGCUGUCACUUAUAGAUGGAUCCGCGCCGCAUUAGCUAGUUGGUAAGGUAACGGCUUACCAAGGCGACGAUGCGUAGCCGACCUGAGAGGGUGAUCGGCCACACUAGAACUGAGACACGGUCCAGACUCCUACGGGAGGCAGCAGUAGGGAAUCUUCCGCAAUGGGCGAAAGCCUGACGGAGCAACGCCGCGUGAGUGAUGAAGGUCUUCGGAUCGUAAAACUCUGUUAUUAGGGAAGAACAAAUGUGUAAGUAACUAUGCACGUCUUGACGGUACCUAAUCAGAAAGCCACGGCUAACUACGU
rnacentral:rRNA from 1 species